rnacentral:rRNA from 1 species
UACAGAGGGUGCGAGCGUUAAUCGGAAUUACUGGGCGUAAAGCGUGCGUAGACGGCUAUCUAAGUCGGGUGUGAAAGCCCCGGGCUCAACCUGGGAAGUGCACUCGAAACUGCAGAGCUCGAGUCCUGGAGAGGAAGGCGGAAUUCUCGGUGUAGAGGUGAAAUUCGUAGAUAUCGAGAGGAACACCGGUGGCGAAGGCGGCCUUCUGGACAGUGACUGACGCUGAGACGCGAAAGCGUGGGGAGCAAACAGG